AUGGUAGGCCCGCGUCGAUGCUUCCACUCGCCCGAGUUCAAGCUCACCUGCGACCGUGGAAGCGAGCUCCCGCGGCUGCUCCUCGGCAACGACAGCGGCGGCGGUGCAUUGGAGGUCGUCAGCAUCUCGCCAGAGAACAACACGAUGCGCGUCAUCAGCCACGGUGUGCAUGCCAUGAACAUGAGCGGCUCCGGCGGCCAGUGGAGCUGGAGUCUCGGUGCCGGCUUGCCAUACACACUCUUGGGGUGGGGCAUAAACGAGUUCAUCCUCUUGGGGUGCAAUCUGCAGGCGAAGCUGCUGAGCAAUGGGAGCGGCGGCAGUAUCAUCAGCGGCUGCGCCUCCUUCUGCUCCACGGAAACGAUGGAGUGGUACGAGGCUUAUGACAAGCGCUGCUCCAACAACGGCUGCUGCCUGUCGUCCAUCCCCAUGGGAGACGCAUUCUACGGAGUGGAGCUUAGACGGCUUGACAGGGGCCUUCCAGAGAAGGGCAUGCAAGCCGAAGUGCCCGUGAGCGUGCUCAUCGCUGAGACGGGCUGGUUUCACAGGGAUUUGUCCACAGAUCUGACAGACCCAACGCGUGGCCAGUGGCAGAAGACCAUUCUGCGGGUCCCCUUGAUUCUCAGUUGGGUGGUGCCGCAGGGCACGUCCCAUGAUAUGAAAUACCCCGGUGAGGCAGCCUGGAGAAUCUGCAAGAGCACCAACAGCGAACCCAGAGCCGCCGCAUAUUUUCCAGUAAGAGGCAAUUCGUGCGAGUGCAAGGAGGGGUACCAGGGCAACCCUUAUAUCACCGGCGGAUGCCAAGAUAUCAAAGAGUGUGAUCAGAAAGAAGAACAUGGAUGUUUCGGAGACUGCGAGGAACUACCGGGGACGUUCCAGUGCCGUUGCCCCGAAGGGUACCAGGGCAACCCUUACCUCACUGGCGGAUGCCAAGAUAUCAAGGAGUGUGAUCAGAAAGAAGAACAUGGAUGUUUCGGAGACUGCGAGGAACUACCCGGGACGUUCCGGUGCCGUUGCCCCGAAGGGUUCCAUGGCAACUACUCCAUAUCCGGCGGCUGCUUUAAGUCUGUAAACACAGGUCGCUCGGGUUUAAUCAUUGGUCUUUCCGUUGCUAGUGGCCCAUGCAUUCUACUUUUGAUUCUUGGCGCACUUCUCAUAAUCCGUGAUAUUGAGCAACACAAGGGAAAGAUGAUGAGACAGAAGUUCUUUAAUCAAAAUCGUGGACAAUUGUUGAAGCAGUUAGUGUCUCAUAGGGCAGACAUUGCGGAGAGGAUGAUAAUCCCCUUGGAGGAGCUACAAAAGGCCACCAACAAUUUCGAUCAAGUUCGUAGGCUCGGUGGAGGAGGGCAUGGCACUGUUUACAAGGGGAUUUUGUCAGACUUGCAUGUCGUGGCCAUCAAGAAGUCAAAUAUCGUGGUCAAGAGAGAAAUCGAUGAGUUUAUAAAUGAGGUUGCCAUACUAUCGCAAAUCAACCAUAGGAACAUUGUAAAGCUCCAUGGAUGUUGCCUCGAGACAGAAGUCCCUUUACUAGCCUAUGAGUUUAUCUGCAAUGGAACCCUUAGUGACCAUCUUCACACGGGAGCACUAGGAUCACUAUCUUGGGAUGAUAGGUUAAGGAUCGCAAGUGAAAUAGGCAAAGCUCUUGGUUACCUUCAUUCUUCCGUAACAGUGCCUGUUAUACACAUGGAUAUCAAGCCUUCCAACAUACUUCUUGACGAUGCCUUGAUAGCAAAAAUUUCAGAUUUUGGAGCUUCGAGGUACAUUCCCAUGGAUAAAACAGGGUUAACAACAAUAACCGCAGUGCAAGGAACUAUAGGGUACUUAGACCCUAUGUACUACUACACGGGACGCCUAACGGAAUGUAGUGAUGUCUAUAGCUUUGGAGUCCUUCUCGUUGAGUUGCUUACUAGGAAGAAUCCAUCUUCCUAUAGAUCAUCUGAAGGUGAUGGGCUUGUCAUGCAGUUUGUUGAACUACUUGCCGAAGGCAAUCUGGCCGAGAUACUAGAUCCACAAGUUUUAGAGGAGGCAGGUACUGAAGUGGAAGAAGUAGCUAUCUUGCUGUGUCAUGCAUGA
rnacentral:rRNA from 1 species